ensembl:lncRNA
GGCCAUUGUGCGAGCACAGAGGGAGAACACUGAGUGGAAGAUGGGGGCCGGGAAUGUGCUUGGCAGGCUGUACAAUGGGAACAAGGUUGUCAGUCUCAAAUGAUGCUUUCAUAAUCAACACAUUGGAGCCGGGUUGCUGCACAGAAUGAGAAUAUCAGCGAUGUCAAUGAAGAACUGCAUCGCUGGGUGGGAGAAGAAUUGCUGACACUUUAGGGUCAGUUUGCGUUUUAGGCAACUUCAAAACCACUGCUGUGAAAAACCUGUGGACGCCGCGCAGCACUCAAGCUUCACCCAACGCCUUUUCUCCAGAGUGCAGCGGAUGCUGGCGGAGAUAAAAACAGUGCAACCAAACACUGCAAUUUUGCUGAAAGUAUGUAUUUAGUAAGAAGAAUGUGUUUUGAGGGAAAAGAAAACAUGGACCUCCCCUCCCCCCCCUAAAAGUAGACAAAGGAAUACAUAAUUCUACAAUAUUAUGCAUUCUACAAUAAUUCACGUUUCAUUAAUGCACAUGAGUAAUUCAGCUUCUUUCCGGGAGUUUUUUUUGUGCUUUCUCCCCUGGCAGGUCUCCGUUGAUCGUAGUUCCUUCUGGACCCUGGUCCUGACACCUGCCGUGGCCAUGCUGACGCCUGCUGCUGCCAUCAUCAUCAUCAUUAUUAUUAUUUUAGAUAUUAAUCAUAUUACUGUACUCAUAAACCGACAUUACCCUCUCCUAAAGUCUCUG